rnacentral:rRNA from 1 species
UACAGAGGGGGCGAGCGUUGUUCGGAAUUACUGGGCGUAAAGGGCGCGUAGGCGGCCCGCUAAGUCGAACGUGAAAUCCCCAGGCUCAACCUGGGAACUGCGUCCGAUACUGGCAGGCUUGAAUCCGGGAGAGGGAUGCGGAAUUCCAGGUGUAGCGGUGAAAUGCGUAGAUAUCUGGAGGGACACCGGUGGCGAAGGCGGCAUCCUGGACCGGCAUUGACGCUGAGGCGCGAAAGCCAGGGGAGCAAACGGG